rfam:Triticum aestivum genome assembly, contig: Triticum_aestivum_CS42_TGACv1_scaffold_320833_4BL
AAAAUACUCCCUCUGUCCGGAAAUACUUGUCGGAGAAAUGGAUAAAAGUUUAUGUAUUUUGAACUAAAACACGUCUAGAUACAUACAUUUCUCCGACAAGUAUUUUCAGACGGAGGGAGUACUUA